CAGGAUGAACGCUGGCGGCGUGCCUAACACAUGCAAGUCGAACGAAUAACCCGCCUUCGGGCGGUCAUAGAGUGGCGAACGGGUGAGUAACACGUGACCAACCUUCCCCCCGCAUGGGGAUAACCGGGCGAAAGCCCGGCUAAUACCCAAUACUCCGGGCCCUCCGCAUGGAGGGGCCGGGAAAGCCCAGGCGGCGGGGGGAUGGGGUCGCGGCCCAUUAGGUAGACGGCGGGGUAACGGCCCACCGUGCCCGCGAUGGGUAGCCGGACUGAGAGGUCGAUCGGCCACAUUGGGACUGAGAUACGGCCCAGACUCCUACGGGAGGCAGCAGUGGGGAAUUUUGCGCAAUGGGGGAAACCCUGACGCCAGCAACGCCGCGUGCGGGAUGAAGGCCCUAGGGUUGUAAACCGCUUUCAGCAGGGAAGAAACAUGACGGUACCUGCAGAAGAAGCUCCGGCUAACUACGUGCCAGCCGCAGC
rnacentral:rRNA from 1 species